rnacentral:rRNA from 4 species
CCCCGGUAAACGGCGGCCGUAACUAUAACGGUCCUAAGGUAGCGAAAUUCCUUGUCGGGUAAGUUCCGACCUGCACGAAUGGCGUAAUGAUGGCCAGGCUGUCUCCACCCGAGACUCAGUGAAAUUGAACUCGCUGUGAAGAUGCAGUGUACCCGCGGCAAGACGGAAAGACCCCGUGAACCUUUACUAUAGCUUGACACUGAACAUUGAGCCUUGAUGUGUAGGAUAGGUGGGAGGCUUUGAAGUGUGGACGCCAGUCUGCAUGGAGCCGACCUUGAAAUACCACCCUUUAAUGUUUGAUGUUCUAACGUGGACCCGUAAUCCGGGUUGCGGACAGUGUCUGGUGGGUAGUUUGACUGGGGCGGUCUCCUCCUAAAGAGUAACGGAGGAGCACGAAGGUUGGCUAAUCCUGGUCGGACAUCAGGAGGUUAGUGCAAUGGCAUAAGCCAGCUUGACUGCGAGCGUGACGGCGCGAGCAGGUGCGAAAGCAGGUCAUAGUGAUCCGGUGGUUCUGAAUGGAAGGGCCAUCGCUCAACGGAUAAAAGGUACUCCGGGGAUAACAGGCUGAUACCGCCCAAGAGUUCAUAUCGACGGCGGUGUUUGGCACCUCGAUGUCGGCUCAUCACAUCCUGGGGCUGAAGUAGGUCCCAAGGGUAUGGCUGUUCGCCAUUUAAAGUGGUACGCGAGCUGGGUUUAGAACGUCGUGAGACAGUUCGGUCCCUAUCUGCCGUGGGCGCUGGAGAACUGAGGGGGGCUGCUCCUAGUACGAGAGGACCGGAGUGGACGCAUCACUGGUGUUCGGGUUGUCAUGCCAAUGGCACUGCCCGGUAGCUAAAUGCGGAAGAGAUAAGUGCUGAAAGCAUCUAAGCACGAAACUUGCCCCGAGAUGAGUUCUCCCUGAGACUUAGAG